UACGGGGGGGCAAGCGUUAUCCGGAAUUAUUGGGCGUAAAGAGCUCGUAGGCGGUUUGUCGCGUCUGCUGUGAAAACUGGAGGCUCAACCUCCAGCCUGCAGUGGGUACGGGCAGACUAGAGUGCGGUAGGGGAGAUUGGAAUUCCUGGUGUAGCGGUGGAAUGCGCAGAUAUCAGGAGGAACACCGAUGGCGAAGGCAGAUCUCUGGGCCGUAACUGACGCUGAGGAGCGAAAGCAUGGGGAGCGAACAGG
rnacentral:rRNA from 1 species